rnacentral:rRNA from 1 species
GACGAACGCUGGCGGCGUGCCUAAUACAUGCAAGUAGGACGCACAGUUUAUACCGUAGCUUGCUACACCAUAGACUGUGAGUUGCGAACGGGUGAGUAACGCGUAGGUAACCUGCCUAUUAGAGGGGGAUAACUAUUGGAAACGAUAGCUAAUACCGCAUAACAGUAUGUAACACAUGUUAGAUGCUUGAAAGAUGCAAUUGCAUCGCUAGUAGAUGGACCUGCGUUGUAUUAGCUAGUAGGUAGGGUAAAGGCCUACCUAGGCAACGAUACAUAGCCGACCUGAGAGGGUGAUCGGCCACACUGGGACUGAGACACGGCCCAGACUCCUACGGGAGGCAGCAGUAGGGAAUCUUCGGCAAUGGGGGGAACCCUGACCGAGCAACGCCGCGUGAGUGAAGAAGGUUUUCGGAUCGUAAAGCUCUGUUGUUGGUGAAGAAGGAUAGAGGUAGUAACUGGCCUUUAUUUGACGGUAAUCAACCAGAAAGUCACGGCUAACUACGUGCCAGCAGCCGCGGUAAUACGUAGGUCCCGAGCGUUGUCCGGAUUUAUUGGGCGUAAAGCGAGCGCAGGCGGUUAGAAAAGUCUGAAGUGAAAGGCAGUGGCUCAACCAUUGUAGGCUUUGGAAACUGUUUAACUUGAGUGCAGAAGGGGAGAGUGGAAUUCCAUGUGUAGCGGUGAAAUGCGUAGAUAUAUGGAGGAACACCGGUGGCGAAAGCGGCUCUCUGGUCUGUAACUGACGCUGAGGCUCGAAAGCGUGGGGAGCGAACAGG